UACGAAGGGUGCAAGCGUUACUCGGAAUCACUGGGCUUAAAGCGUUUGUAGGUCGUUUGGUAAGUUUGAUGUGAAAGCCCACCGCUCAAGGUGGAAGUGCAUUGAAUACUGCCUGACUAGAGUAUAGGAGAGGUGGACGGAAUUCCUGGUGUAGAGGUGAAAUUCGUAGAUAUCAGGAGGAACAACGGAGGCGAAGGCGGUCCACUGGACUAUUACUGACACUGAAAAACGAAAGUGUGGGGAGCAAACAGG
rnacentral:rRNA from 1 species